UACAGAGGGUGCAAGCGUUAAUCGGAAUUACUGGGCGUAAAGCGUGCGUAGACGGUAGCGUAAGUCGGGUGUGAAAGCCCCGGGCUCAACCUGGGAAUUGCAUUCGAGACUGCUCUGCUAGGGUGCGGAAGAGGGAAGCGGAAUUUCCGGUGUAGCGGUGAAAUGCGUAGAUAUCUGGAGGAACACCGGUGGCGAAGGCGGCAUCCUGGACCAAUUCUGACGCUGAGGAGCGAAAGCCAGGGGAGCAAACGGG
rnacentral:rRNA from 1 species